GACGUAGGGCGCGAGCGUUGUCCGGAAUUACUGGGCGUAAAGCGCACGUAGGCGGAUUGUUAAGUCGGGGGUGAAAUCCUGGAGCUCAACUCCAGAACUGCCUUCGAUACUGGCGAUCUCGAGUUCGGGAGAGGUGAGUGGAACUGCGAGUGUAGAGGUGAAAUUCGUAGAUAUUCGCAAGAACACCAGUGGCGAAGGCGGCUCACUGGCCCGAUACUGACGCUGAGGUGCGAAAGCGUGGGGAGCAAACAGG
rnacentral:rRNA from 1 species